rnacentral:rRNA from 1 species
UUGGAGGGCAAGUCUGGUGCCAGCAGCCGCGGUAAUUCCAGCUCCAAUAGCGUAUAUUAAAGUUGUUGCAGUUAAAAAGCUCGUAGUUGAAUUUCGGGAUUGACGUAUUGGUCGUGCCCUAAGGGGUAUGAACUGAUAUUGUUGAUUUCUCACCUUCUGGUGAAUCAUAAUGCCCUUAAUUGGGUGUCAUGUGGAACCAGGACCUUUACCUUGAAAAAAUUAGAGUGUUUAAAGCAGGCAUUUAUUGCUCGAAUACAUUAGCAUGGAAUGAUAAAAUAGGACGGAUUUGAUUCUAUUUUGUUGGUUUCUAGGAUCACCGUAAUGAUUAAUAGGGAUAGUUGGGGGCAUUAGUAUUCAAUUGUCAGAGGUGAAAUUCUUGGAUUUAUUGAAGACUAGCUACUGCGAAAGCAUUUGCCAAGGAUGUUUUCAUUAAUCAAGAACGAAAGUUAGGGGAUCGAAGACGAUCAGAUACCGUCGUAGUCUUAACCAUAAACUAUGCCGACUAGGAAUCAGACGAUGUUAAUUUUUUAAUGACUCGUUUGGCACCUUACGGGAAAC